UAGGGAAUCUUCCACAAUGGACGCAAGUCUGAUGGAGCAACGCCGCGUGAGUGAAGAAGGUUUUCGGAUCGUAAAGCUCUGUUGUUGGUGAAGAAGGAUAGAGGCAGUAACUGGUCUUUAUUUGACGGUAAUCAACCAGAAAGUCACGGCUAACUACGUGCCAGCAGCCGCGGUAAUACGUAGGUGGCAAGCGUUGUCCGGAUUUAUUGGGCGUAAAGCGAGCGCAGGCGGAAUGAUAAGUCUGAUGUGAAAGCCCACGGCUCAACCGUGGAACUGCAUCGGAAACUGUCAUUCUUGAGUGCAGGAGAGGAGAGUGGAAUUCCAUGUGUAGCGGUUGAAUGCGUAGAUAUAUGGAAGAACACCAGUAGCGAAGGCGGCUCUCUGGUCUGCAACUGACGCUGAGGCUCGAAAGCAUGGGUAGCGAACAUG
rnacentral:rRNA from 1 species